rnacentral:rRNA from 1 species
UACGGAGGGUGCGAGCGUUGUCCGGAAUCACUGGGCGUAAAGGGCGCGUAGGCGGCUCAUGAAGGCUGUGGUGAAAGUCCGGGGCUCAACCUCGGAUCGGCCGUGGCGACUCGUGGGCUGGAGCACUGUAGAGGCGGGUGGAAUUCCGGGUGUAGCGGUGGAAUGCGUAGAGAUCCGGAAGAACACCAGUGGCGAAGGCGGCCCGCUGGGCAGUGGCUGACGCUGAAGCGCGACAGCGUGGGGAGCGAACGGA